AUUGAACGCUGGCGGCAUGCCUUACACAUGCAAGUCGAACGGCAGCACGGACUUCGGUCUGGUGGCGAGUGGCGAACGGGUGAGUAAUGUAUCGGAACGUACCUUUCAGUGGGGGAUAACGUAGCGAAAGUUACGCUAAUACCGCAUAUUCUGUGAGCAGGAAAGCAGGGGAUCGCAAGACCUUGCGCUGAUUGAGCGGCCGAUAUCAGAUUAGCUAGUUGGUGGGGUAAAGGCCUACCAAGGCUACGAUCUGUAGCGGGUCUGAGAGGAUGAUCCGCCACACUGGAACUGAGACACGGUCCAGACUCCUACGGGAGGCAGCAGUGGGGAAUAUUGGACAAUGGGCGCAAGCCUGAUCCAGCCAUGCCGCGUGUGUGAUGAAGGCCUUAGGGUUGUAAAGCACUUUCACCGAUGAAGAAUAAUAGACGGUAAGUCGGGAGAAGAAGCCCCGGCCUAACUUCGUGCCAGCAGCCGCGGU
rnacentral:rRNA from 1 species